UACGUAGGGUGCGAGCGUUAAUCGGAAUUACUGGGCGUAAAGCGUGCGCAGGCUGUUUUGUAAGUCAGAUGUGAAAUCCCCGAGCUCAACUUGGGAACUGCGUUUGAAACUACAAGACUAGAAUAUGUCAGAGGGGGGUAGAACUCCACGUGUAGCAGUGAAAUGCGUAGAGAUGUGGAGGAAUACCAAUGGCGAAGGCGGCCUUCUGGACAGUGACUGACGCUGAGACGCGAAAGCGUGGGGAGCAAACAGG
rnacentral:rRNA from 1 species